UAAAUAUUAGUUUAUAAAAUAUGCCAACCUCAAAUUAAAGCUGAAAAUGCUUUAUUUUGACCAACUGUGAGCAUGUGACUGUACUUUUUCAUUUUGUUAUGCUGUUUUGUUGAGGUCGUGUUCCUAAGACCUGUAGUUACAGUUGGUGCUAUGAGCAAUAAACAUUUCACACCCAUCAUGAUGAUGUCUGUUAACUUGUGAAUGUAACUGUCUGGAAAAAAAGGAAUCUUGCAGUGAAGCUCAUUCCCGGGCAGUGGUCAGAAAAAAAGAGCUUUGACUUGAAGGAGCUCUGGCAAGCUAUUUGCACACUGGAGAGAGGAAGCCAGAGCUGUGCUUGAAGGACAACACGUGUCCAUUUUCAGACUGAAAAAGCGCAAGUUCCAGGAAGUCAGUCAGGAGCCAGCAGUUGUUGAAGAUCUGCGUCCUGCUGUGCAGUGGGUUGUCCAAAAUAAGGCACUUUUCCGUGGACUCGUAACGAUGCCAAAAUAUCUGUCCUUAAAUCAAGGGGACCAGCAGAGGGUCUUAAGAGACAUGUCAGAGGAAGAAGACACUGGAGCAAGGGACAUGUUCCUCUUUGUUUUUCAGUUUGCAGAGGACAUGGAGCUCUUUUUGAAAGCAUGAGCUGAUGAGCAGGGACUAAGGGUCAGUGCUAUGUUUGACAUGUAAUGGACAAAUGA